rnacentral:rRNA from 1 species
UACGUAGGGUGCGAGCGUUGUCCGGAAUUAUUGGGCGUAAAGGGCUCGUAGGCGGUCUGUCGCGUCGGGAGUGAAAACUCAGGGCUUAACCCUGAGCCUGCUUCCGAUACGGGCAGACUAGAGGUAUGCAGGGGAGAACGGAAUUCCUGGUGUAGCGGUGGAAUGCGCAGAUAUCAGGAGGAACACCGGUGGCGAAGGCGGUUCUCUGGGCAUUACCUGACGUUGAGGAGCGAAAGUGUGGGGAGCGAACAGG